rnacentral:SRP_RNA from 1 species
ACUGGGCAUGAUGGUACAUGCCUGUAGUCCCAGCUACUCAGGAAGCUGAGGCAGGAGGAUUGCUUGAGCUCAGGAGGUCGAGACUGCAGUGAGCCAUGAUGGUGCCACUGCACUCUAGCCUGGGUGACAGAGUGAGACCCUGUCUCAA